GACGUGUGUAGGUUUGGUAUACAGGUUAAAGGUAUAGGAGAGCUUCAGGACAACAUAGUGAAGCGAGAACGGGAUGAUAUUGUUCUUGAGUUGGUAGCAUUGGGGGGACGUCAAUAUUGAUUGUCGUUACCUAGAAAAAGGAAGUUGAUCGCCGAUAGUGGUGAUGGUCGGGAGACUCUUACGGGCAAGGGGUUGGAUCACCGAUAUUGGUGACGGGAGAGAAUGGUAUCUGUGUGUGUUUGUGGCCUGUUAGGGGUCGAGAGAUAGAAGGUUGAUUGUUGGUCGCUGAUAUUUGUGACGAGUGAGAACAUUUGUACGGUUGGGGUGACGUCGGAAGACAGUCACACUUGAUAUGCAUAAUAACUAAAUUACCCAGGUAAGUUAGUCCUGUGUAGUCCCAGGGUGGUAUUAAUGUAUGGAUUAGGUUGUGUAGAUAGAGUACAUACAGAAAUUCUGGGUUUUCUAU
rnacentral:lncRNA from 1 species